rnacentral:lncRNA from 1 species
GGGGCAGACAAAACGACAGGUCAAGGGCAGGUCGGUAAUCCAGGGCAGAGUCCGUAAGGUACAGAACAACGGGCAGGCUCAGGGUCAGGGCAGGCAGAGGUCAGUAAUCCAGGGCAGAGUCAGAAAGGUACAGAAAAACGGGCAGGCUCAGGGUCAGGGCAGGCAGAGGUCAGUAAUCCAGGGCAGAGUCAGAAAGGUACAGAAUGGCAGGCAGGCUCAGGGCAGGCAGAGGUCAGUAAUCCAGGGCAGAGUCAGAAAGGUACAGAAUGACAGGCAGGCUCAGGGUCAGGGCAGGCAGAGGUCAGUAAUCCAGGGCAGAGUCAGAAAGGUACAGAACGACAGGCAGGCUCAGGGUCAGGGCAGGCAGAGGUCAGUAAUCCAGGGCAGAGUCAGAAAGGUACAGAACGACAGGCAGGCUCAGGGUCAGGGCAGGCAGAGGUCAGUAAUCCAGGGCAGAGUCAGAAAGGUACAGAACGGCAGGCAGGCUCAGGGCAGGCAGUGGGCAGUAAUCCAGGGCAGUGUUAGAAAGGUACAGAACGGCAGGCAGGCUCAGGGUCAGGGCAGGCAGAGGUCAAAACUGGAAGAACUAGAAAAUAGGGACUAGAGAGAACAGGAGUACGGGGAAAACCACGCUGGUAGGCUUGACG